CCCGCACAAAUUGGGUCCUGUGCUCUGAUUAGUUGUAGUGGUGCUGUGCUGUGUUAUUUUAUAUGUAUGCGAGUGGGAAAAAAUAUAAAAAUACGGAGAAAACGCGGAGAGAGAGGAGAAGGAGAAAGAGAAGGAGACAGGCAAGCUCCAAUAUAGUUUUUGUGUCUGUGUCUCCCUCUCUUCUGUUCUGAAGAAGAGAGUAGGAGAGAAUGGAGUACGAGACAACCAAUAGUUGGAUAUGGGAUGGAGUGUAUCACUACCCACAUGUAUUUGGUGGUCUAAUGUUAACAGCUGCCUUGCUGGGUUUGUCCACUAGUUAUUUUGGUGGAAUUGGGUUUUCUUCAUUCCCCUAUAUCUGUUGGGAUCUUGGUACUUUGUAUAAGAAGAGAUAUGAGAAGAAGAAGAAGCGCAUUCGUGUUUACAUGGAUGGUUGCUUUGAUCUUAUGCAUUAUGGACAUGCCAAUGCUUUAAGACAGGCUAAAGCUUUGGGUGAUGAAUUAGUGGUAGGUGUUGUCAGUGAUGAAGAGAUAAUUGCCAAUAAGGGUCCCCCUGUUUUGCCCAUGGAGGAGAGACUGGCUCUUGUCAGUGGAUUGAAGUGGGUGGAUGAAGUCAUAGCCAAUUCUCCUUAUGCCAUUACAGAGCAAUUCAUGAACACUCUCUUCAAUGAGCAUAAAAUUGACUAUAUCAUACAUGGCGAUGAUCCUUGCCUGCUUCCUGAUGGAACUGACGCUUAUGCAUUGGCCAAGAGGGCUGGACGCUAUAAGCAGAUUAAACGCACUGAAGGGGUCUCCAGCACUGAUAUUGUAGGAAGGAUACUUUCUGUGGAUGAUCCAAAAGUUUGUGAAGCUCAUGAUGAUAAGUUGCCUUUACCUAGAGAUGCCUGUAAAGCAAAUCAAUCCAGUGGUGCCUAUAUAUCUCAAUUUCUACCAACAUCACGUCGAAUUGUUCAAUUUUCAAAUGGCAAGGGACCUGGACCAAAUGCUCGUGUUGUGUACAUUGAUGGGGCAUUUGACCUCUUCCAUGCUGGACAUGUGGAGAUUCUCAGAUGUGCUAGGCAGCUUGGUGAUUUUCUGCUCGUUGGGAUUCACACUGACCAAAUUGUGAGUGAACACAGAGGGAAGAACUACCCAAUUAUGCAUCUACAUGAGCGUAGUUUAAGUGUGCUGGCUUGCCGUUAUGUGGAUGAAGUCAUCAUUGGUGCCCCUUGGGAAGUUUCUAAAGACAUGAUUACAACUUUCAACAUCUCUUUGGUUGUUCAUGGGACAAUUGCAGAGUGCAACUCCUUGUUGGCCGGCAUUCCCGAUCCUUAUGCAGUUCCAAAGAGCAUGGGAAUUUUCCAGAUCCUUGAAAGCCCCAAAAAUAUAACUACCACUUCAGUAGCGCAAAGGAUUGUUGCCAAUCAUGAGGCUUACAUGUUAUUCUAUUUUAUGCCUUGUUGUUUCUUUUGUAGGUUUGUCAAACUCAGAUGAGAUUAACCCAAUUGCCACAAAACUAUAAUUUAACGAUCAAAUUGUGACAGAUUAAGAAACGCAAUGCGAAGAAGGCAGAAAGUGAGAAAAAAUAUUAUGCAGAAAAGGUGUACGUAUCAGGAGAUUAGUGGAGAUGUAUGUUCAUCGAACAGCUGGUUUGAUACAGUUCUUAAUGCCCAAUAGAAAUGCUUGUUUGCUCAAGGUACAAAUCAGUCACAUAAAUAGAGUGAUGAAAGAGAUUAGAUUGAAGCAAAGAUAACAUCAUAAUUUUAUAUUCUCAUUUCGUGUAAUGUUAUUCCAGUGUAGGCAAACACUCAUGAUGUCACCAUUUUAAAAGGAUGAAUUUUUCUGGGCGUUUAAUUUUCACUGCGCCGUUGAAUUUCCUAGUUUAGAUUUAUUUUUUCUUUUGGAAGUACUGUUUUUGAGUAUUAUCCAAUACAGGCUAGUUAUCAUUGGUUUGAAACAUUGUUGUAUAAGAAUAAUUUUGCUUUAGUUCAAUUGGCCAAUUGGCACUAACAAAAUACUGCAGAACUGGA